rnacentral:rRNA from 1 species
UACGAAGGGAGUUAGCGUUGUUCGGAAUUACUGGGCGUAAAGCGCACGUAGGCGGAUUGGAAAGUUAGAGGUGAAAUCCCGGGGCUCAACCCCGGAACUGCCUUUAAAACUCUCAGUCUAGAGGAUAGGAGAGGUCAGUGGAAUACCGAGUGUAGAGGUGAAAUUCGUAGAUAUUCGGUGGAACACCAGUGGCGAAGGCGACUGACUGGACCAUUUCUGACGCUGAGGUGCGAAAGUGUGGGGAGCAAACAGGAUUAGAUACCCCGGUAGUCC